CUGGACAGUCUCAAGGUGGAGAUGUUCUGAGACAAAGAGUAUAAGACAGUACGGGUGUGCAUGGACCAGUUGUGGCAGUUCAGUUCAAAUUCAGUUUUAAUAUGGACUGAACCAUGGGUCCCCAAACUGGUUUGGUAAAACCCACCAGCUGGGCUGGUUGGGUUGAUGAACCAAGUUGAAGAGUUUAGAAGUAGUUUGCAUUCGAACCACUUGAACUGGCCCAGUUUGUGGCUGAUGGGUUCACAGUUCGACCAGUCUGUGCACAACCCUUUGUCUAAAAUAAGAGACUUGGUUAUUAGAAAUGCUGAAAAAACAUGGCAAAAAAGACUGGGUGAAAUAUAGUUCGGGGAAAGAACUGGCUUCCUGUUUAUGUUUUGUGUGUAAAGUGCCUAAGUUUUCUAAGAAGUAAGAACAACUUUGUAACCAAGAAAGGUCUCAGCCCUACUAAACAAUAAUGAAAACAAACAACCCUCAGACAACAGCUGGGCCACUUGGGUCGAUGAACCAGCUCAAAGUUAGAAACGGUUCACGUUCAAACCACUUGAACCAGCCUCGUUUGCAGAUGACCAGUUCACGGUUGGACCAGUCCGUGCACACCCCUAUAAGACAGUCGAAAAUAAAAGACUGGAAUAAGGAAAUAGGAAUAAGGAUUAGGAAUUAGGAAUAAGACAUUCUGAAACAUAUAGAUAUAGAUAAGCCUAAGUAACAUCAAAAGUGAAAACAAACAAAAACAGUCUCAGUACCAAUGCCACACCCUGCAUUAAAGAAGACAUGAGGCAAAUGCUGUUGGCUGGGUCAGCCUGGGGUGAAGCUUAGUCAGCCAAUUUGGUGCUUUAUCCGUCAUUGGCUCCAUCUUUGUCCAGUGAAGAAUGUGCUUUUUUGGUCAUCCUUAUGGGGCCAAGUAGCAAUUUUUUGCUUCCCAGUGGACUGACUGAGUUCAGAAGUUUUUUCAGCUACUCUCCCUUCCCUUUAGCUAGAUUGUUAAAUUGGUCCUAGCCAGGCAGGUGCAGUGCAAGCUGGGAGUAGAAGUAGUGGGGGAUUGAUUGGCGAGCACCCUUGGUUGGGUUUAGGAAGGGGGGAGUAGUUGAUCUUAGAGUCUUUGUGGCUCAGGGGCUAUAAUUCUACCCCUGUUGGGGGCUCCAUAAACCUCAAAGGUUGAACAGCUUGAUGGGAGGUGAAGCCCCUGAGAGGACCCUGGCAUCUCUGGGGGUUGGCAAAGAGGAGUUAGGUUCAGCACCAGUCUGAUUCGGUGCUCUGAGCCGGGGUGCGAUCAUCCGGAAGUCUUGAGGGAAGGAUGUUAUUAUUCUGUGACCCUCAACUUAAGUUAGGCAAACAAUAAAGCUAUUCUCACAAUCCUUGAGAAGAGCUUGCGGGCAGUCUUCAGGGAAGGAGGGUUUAACCUACCUUUCCCACAAAUGAUCACAUUGAAGUCCCUAGGUGGGCAGAUCACCCACCCAGAUGACCAGCGGCUCCUGCUUCAGCUCCUGGGGUCAGGGUGCCGGGAUGUGCCACCACGUGUCACCCCACCCCCCAGAGUCCCAAUAAUGCACCACACAAGUGUGUGAUACAUUACUGGGAUCCCUCCUCCCUCUGAGUGUGCCAGCCAUGGUGAUUAAAACAAUGUUAAGGGAGUGCUUGCUCCCUUAACUUUGUUUAAUUAAGUGGCUCAAUAGGUGGGUUUGCCGCCAUGUAGCCUCUGGGAUCAGACCUCAUCCUGGUGGUUCACACAAGCAUGCAAAACCAGGCUGGGCUCCCUUAGCCCGGUUUUGCGUGCUCACGUUAAUGGCCUCAUUGUCUGAGGGACUAAGUGAGCAAGAAUUAGUGCUACCACUAGGAAGAGAUAAUCAAAUAGGUUUGCCUGAUAUACAGCUAUAUUAUGCUGCUUAUCAGUUAUGCCAUGAUCUUAGGUUUGUGUAUAACAAUUAGUUUCUACGAGAAAAGUAUAAUUUCUCAGUGGGGCUCUGCACAUCCUCAUCUACACAUUCUUGAAAAGCACAUAAUACAGCAUUGUUAGGACUACACCACAUCAGGUGGGAGGUCAUAUAUUUGAAAGAAAAAGAUUAACCUCUCAUGGACAACUAGCACUUCAGGGAGAAAGCUCUAGUGAACAUUUCUUGCUGACUUUCCUCAGGCAGGAGUUUUCUGAAGAGGGGAGACUCAGCCACAGAAAAGGAUCACCAUCUGUUGCUGUCUGAAAACUUCAGAUUCUUGCUAAACCUGAAUUUGAAGCAUCCUGGUCACAGAGAGUAUAAGAGAAGGACCAAGUGAACAGUGCCAAAGACCAAAAGAUUUCAGGACCUUUGGGAAACUGCUGAGGCAGAAGAACCAGGAAUGACUCCUGCUAAAUGAGAUUUCAGAUCACCGGAGGGUCUUGUACUUUCUGUGACUCCAUGAGCAAUAGGCUGGCUGUCUAGUUGGCUUCUUUCCAACCUCAGCAUAUGUCACUCAGAGCUUCUCAGGCUUGUAAUACUCACUGGAGCUUCAAGUAAUUCUGAUGUGGAGGGUGAAGAAUGAGAUCAAAGAAACUUGCUUCUGUGCAAGCUUUGAAACAGCCUGAAGGCUGAGGAAAAUGCUGUGCAAAGCUAUUCAAAGCACAGCCUUCAUCAAUUUAUUUCCUAGCUCGAGAUUAUCAGAAAAAAGAAUGCUUGACUGACAGUGCAUUGGGAAUGUUUACUUCCAGAUCAGAUCAAAUCCUAUGAAUACUACAUGGCUUUUGAGAUUUGACAGAGAAUCUGCAUCCUAUCCCUGUGGGCUGAAUAUAUUCUGUACAGACAGAAGAGCAAAAUGCCUAUCUUCCCUGUUUUACAUAGGGAAUUUCCAUGGGAUGGAAGGUGACCAGAGUGUAACAUUUUACUUUGUGGAACAAAAAUAAGGAGGCUAAACAUGUGGAGGCUGAAAGAAGAGCCUUCCCAUCUCUGAAAACCUUUUAAAAAUCCAUAAAGACUCAUUUUUUCACCCAA